rnacentral:misc_RNA from 1 species
AUUUUUUUUUAUCACUAUUUAACUUCAAAUAAGCCAUAUGUAACUUCAAAUAAGCCAUCAGCUUUUGUAAAUAUCUGCUAAGGAACAAAUCGAUUGUAGCUUUGUAGCUUAGUCGUGUCGUUAGCAGCCCAGUCAGUCUUUGAGGUAGCAGCAGCCACCAAGUCCGUUAACUGGGCAGUCAUCACCAUGGAACAUCAAAUAAGCCAUCAAGCUUUUUGUAUCUGUCCUAAGCUGUUUCACUCACAGUUACAGCAAGAUCAGGAAUCCAGACAUUAAAGCACAAAGAAGAACAAACAAAACAAUAGCAAGAUCCGCUAUUUAGCCAUUAGCUCACUUUUCCCUUUAUUUAGCAAAUUCUCUGGUGCAUAUAUUGCAAGUUCUAGUCUUUGUUCUAGCAUAAAUUACAGACACAAUAAUAUCAGACUUUGACAUGUAAAUCUUCACAGCUCGAAGUCUUGGUUGCUAAAUUUCUCCAUCUCUUUCUUGAAAGCAGGCAAGGCAGUUUCUUGCAUGGUCACCAGCACCUUGAACCCAUCUUUCUUGCCUGCAUUUGCUGAUGAGUAAGGCAAGAAAAAGCAAGGCUCAACACUUCCAAGUAGUUUCCUUGAAAGAGGCAAGACAGUAACUGGACCUCCCCACCCGAAAUCCACAGUUGAAUGGCCCAGGUGUCUCCAAUCUGUGAAUCCACUCACUCUGUUUCCUGCUGUGAUACCAUCUGCAUAAUGCACUUCUUGGAAGUCGACAAAUGAUCGGACAUAUUCAUUGGUGGCAUUAAUUUUACUCUUCUUGAUCACCUCUGCUGUUUUCCAAAUGGGUUGCUCUAGUAGCUCUUUAGCAAGAAGCUGUGCAUACAUUGGAACACAGCCAUUGCCCCAGUAGCCUGCAGGCAACGGUGGCUUUACCAGUCUUCGUAUAUUCAUUGCAUAUGUAAACUUCACAACCUCAUCACCAGCAACUCCUGAGGCUUUGACCUUGGCCCGCCAUAAGAAUGCACCCAAAGCUUCAAACGUGGUGAAAUUUGAGCCACUCUUCUGAAGCAGCACUUUCUUGAACAGAUCCAACCACUCAUCCUUUACAUUGAAACACGCCCUAGCAACCUUACCAACCGCCUGACCGUACGGUUCAGACCCUUUCUCCAACCCCAAAAACUCCCUUAUCGCUCCAUCAGUCUGGGGUGGGUCCCUCGGGCUCAACAAAGUCGUCCUGUCCCACACCGGUUCAAUCGAAAUCAGGUCCGCCCCGCGAGCCAACUCCGCCAUGACAUUAAAAAACUGGGUGGCUCCAAGCCCAUCACACAAGGCAUGGUGUAUUGCAGCUCCCAGGGUAUACCCACCGCACUCAAACAUUGUGAUUUGGAGUAUGCACGGGUUGACCAGCCCAUCAUCCGGACUCGGGUCGGGCACCAACUGCUCCACGAAAUCAUAGUCCGGGUCAUCAAGAUAAUUGAGGGAUUCCAGCGUGCAGUUGACCGUGGCAUUGAUGAGAGGCACACUUUGGUCCCCGGAGCAGAAUA